CUCCGUUUAUCUGGGAGGAGACAGAAGGCACUAUGUGGUCCAUUCCAAGUAUUAGAGUUUUGGGGGUAUGAAUACCUGGGCAUAUGUCGACCAGAAAUCACAGAGGCGAGUACAGAA